rnacentral:misc_RNA from 1 species
GAUGAAGAACGUAGCGAAAUGCGAUAAGUAAUGUGAAUUGCAGAAUCCAGUGAAUCAUCGAAUCUUUGAACGCACAUUGCGCCCGCCAGCAUUCUGGCGGGCAUGCCUGUUCGAGCGUCAUUUCAACCCUCGACCUCCCUUUGGGGAAGUCGGCGUUGGGGACCGGCAGCACACCGCCGGCCCUGAAAUGGAGUGGCGGCCCGUCCGCGGCGACCUCUGCGUAGUAAUCCAACUCGCACCGGAACCCCGACGCGGCCACGCCGUAAAACACCCAACCUCUGAACGUUGACCUCGAAUCAGGUAGGACUACCCGCUGAACUUAAGCAUAUCAAUAAGCGGAGGA